GCCUCGGGAGCCCCGCCCACUUUGAGGGGGCGACGCGGCGCUGAAGCGGCCUGGCCCCGCCCUUCCCGCCUGUACGCGGCGCGCGCGCGCGUUGGGGGCGCACUCCCGCCCGCCAUUUCAAUUUCUCCUGUUGUGAAUGAUCACCGCCUGCCUUCCUGGAGUUGAUUUCUGGACCUAGUUUUAUGCAUUUUCUGGGGACAGCAUCCGCUGUUUUUGAGAAUGCUCUUCUCUGUCUGCAGGUUACUACAAGAUAUUGAAUCUAGUUCCUUGUGCUGUACAGAAGAAAGCUGAUGUUCAUCUAUUUUCCUGCCAUUGUUUUAAUGCCCUGCCAUCACUGUCUUGAAACUCUUAAUCAUUUUGUCUUUGAACUUGUGUUUUGUGAGCGAAGCCCAAUGAGACAAUGGCACAUACUCGUGAACUGAGGAGAUAAGCACAAAAUUCAUGUACUCUAUUCUUUAUCACCUCAUUUGCAUGUAACAUUAGUGAUGCCUUUUUUGAACAAGGGGUUUUGCAUUCUCAUUUUGCACUGGGCCAUGCAAAUUAUGAAUCUAGCCCUGACAAUAGCCCUCCUUCACCAGGCUCCAAUCCUGAAUAAAUGUCUAUCCUCUGAUCCUACCCUACUGUGAAUAUUACAUCUUCUACUGCACAUAGUAUAAAUAUAUUAAAAUUGCCUGUUCAUGUAUCUGUUGCUACAUUAUGGAGUACUAAUUUUUUUUAGUAUUCUCUACUCUUAAAAAGCAUAAAUUCCAAGAAUUUAUACAUUGUUUCUGUUCUUUUAUCUGACUUUCUCCCUCUUAACUUUCUACCCAUCUCAUACUCCAUUGUAAAUUGUUAAAAAAGAAAAUUCAGUAAAUAGUUAAGAUCUUAUUGGCUUUAUUCAAUGAUUCAUGAAUCAGGAAGCAUCCAAUCUGGCAAGGAGCACCAAGGCUCUGUACAAAAUAAAUGACUUUUAUAGGCAGAAGGGAGCAGGAAAAAGAAAAUUAUAUAGGCAAAAAAAGCAUAAUGGUGAUUGCAAGGUUACUUUCCCUCAGGGGAUAACAGGGGUCUAGCUAAGUAACCCAACUAGUGCUUAUCAGGCAAUUCCUAAUUGACUAGUUUAAGAUUCCAUUUCUAGGAGAGCUGAAAUUGUGAUUAAGUCUAAUAUGAUGACGUGGGGCUUAGCAUAGGUGAUCCCAUUUUGGGCCUGUUGUUUUUAACAAAAUGAAAAGAUUACUGUGAUUAUCUUUGUGGAAGAGACAGUUAUCCCCCAAUAUUGUUUUCCUUUCUUGCUUAGAAAUAGAACCCACAGUUUUUGCUGCUCAGAAUAAAGGCUGUCAUUUCCCAGCCUCCCUUGUAGCCGAGUGUGACUAAGUUGUGGCAAAUAGAUGUAAUGGGAAAUAUCAUGUGAAACUCCCAGGAAGUUUUCUUAAAGGAAGUGAUUGUCCCCUU